rnacentral:rRNA from 1 species
ACACAUGCAAGCCGAGCGGUAUUGUUUCUUCGGAAAUGAGAGAGCGGCGUACGGGUGCGGAACACGUGUGCAACCUGCCUUUAUCUGGGGGAUAGCCUUUCGAAAGGAAGAUUAAUACUCCAUAAUAUAUUGAACGGCAUCGUUUAAUAUUGAAAGCUCCGGCGGAUAGAGAUGGGCACGCGCAAGAUUAGCUAGUUGGUGAGGUAACGGCUCACCAAGGCAAUGAUCUUUAGGGGGCCUGAGAGGGUGAUCCCCCACACUGGUACUGAGACACGGACCAGACUCCUACGGGAGGCAGCAGUGAGGAAUAUUGGUCAAUGGGUGCAAGCCUGAACCAGCCAUCCCGCGUGAAGGACGACUGCCCUAUGGGUUGUAAACUUCUUUUGUAUAGGGAUAAACCU